rnacentral:rRNA from 1 species
UACGGAGGGUGCGAGCGUUAAUCGGAAUUACUGGGCGUAAAGGGUUCGUAGGUGGUUAAGUAAGUCAGAUGUGAAAGCCUUGGGCUUAACCUAGGAAUUGCAUUUGAAACUGUUUAACUAGAGUUUACUAGAGGAUUGGGGAAUUUCCGGUGUAGCGGUGAAAUGCGUAGAGAUCGGAAAGAACAUCAAUGGCGAAGGCAACAAUCUGGGGUUAAACUGACACUGAGGAACGAAAGCGUGGGUAGCAAACAGG